GGAGGCGAAAAGGGUCUGGUGACUCUCCUGGUCUUCAAAACCUGUGCGUCGCGACGAUGUCGGGACGGGUGGGUUCGAUUCCCACACGCCUCCGCCA
rnacentral:tRNA from 2 species